rnacentral:rRNA from 1 species
UACCAGUUGGAAACGACUGUUAAUACCGCAUAAUAUCUGCGGAUUAAAGGUGGCCUUUGCGCUACCGCAGAUGGAUGAGCCUGCGUUGGAUUAGCUAGUUGGUGGGGUAAGGGCCUACCAAGGCUACGAUCCAUAGCUGAUUUGAGAGGAUGAUCAGCCACAUUGGGACUGAGACACGGCCCAAACUCCUACGGGAGGCAGCAGUGGGGAAUAUUGGACAAUGGGGGAAACCCUGAUCCAGCAAUGCCAUGUGUGUGAAGAAGGCUCUAGGGUUGUAAAGCACUUUAGUUGGGGAGGAAAGCCUGUGAGUUAAUAGCUUGCAGGAAGGACGUUGCCCAAAGAAUAAGGACCGGCUAACUCCGUGCCAGCAGCCGCGGUAAUACGGGGGGUCCGAGCGUUAAUCGGAAUUACUGGGCGUAAAGGGUCUGUAGGUGGUCUGUUAAGUCAGAUGUGAAAGCCCAGGGCUCAACCUUGGAACUGCAUUUGAUACUGACAAACUAGAGUAUGGUAGAGGAAUAGGGAACUUCUGGUGUAGCGGUGAAAUGCGUAGAGAUCAGAAGGAACACCAAUGGCGAAGGCAACAUUCUGGACCAAUACUGACACUGAGGGACGAAAGCGUGGGGAUCAAACAGGAUUAGAUACCCUGGUAGUCCACGCUGUAAACGAUGAGUACUAGCUGUUGGAUUCGGUGUAAAGGAUCUAGUGGCGCAGCUAACGCGUUAAGUACUCCGCCUGGGGACUACGGCCGCAAGGCUAAAACUCAAAGGAAUUGACGGGGACCCGCACAAGCGGUGGAGCAUGUGGUUUAAUUCGAUGCAACGCGAAGAACCUUACCUGGUCUUGACAUCCUGCGAACUUUCUAGAGGUAGAUUGGUGCCUUCGGGAACGCAGUGACAGGUGCUGCACGGCUGUCGUCAGCUCGUGUUGUGAAAUGUUGGGUUAAGUCCCGCAACGAGCGCAACCCCUAUUGAUAGUUACCAUCAUUAAGUUGGGUACUCUAUUGAGACUGCCGCUGACAAGGCGGAGGAAGGUGGGGACGACGUCAAGUCAUCAUGGCCCUUACGACCAGGGCUACACACGUGCUACAAUGGGUAUUACAGAGGGCUGCGAAGGUGCGAGCUGGAGCGAAACUCAGAAAGG